rnacentral:snRNA from 1 species
AGCUUUGUGCAGUGGCAGUAUCGUAGCCAAUGAGGUUUAUCCGAGGCGCAAUUACUGCUAAUUUAAAAAUAUAUAUAUAUAUAUGUAUAGUAAAAUAUAUAUAUUUUGUAUAUAUAUGUAUGUA